GGGCGAGUGGUGGAAUUGGUAGACACGCCGGACUUAAAAUCCGUCGCUCCGAAAGGAGCGUGAGGGUUCGAGUCCCUCCUCGCCCACCA
rnacentral:tRNA from 1 species